rnacentral:rRNA from 1 species
CCUACGGGAGGCAGCAGUGAGGAAUAUUGGUCAAUGGACGAGAGUCUGAACCAGCCAAGUAGCGUGAAGGAUGACUGCCCUAUGGGUUGUAAACUUCUUUUAUAUGGGAAUAAAAUGUUCCACGUGUGGGAUUUUGUAUGUACCAUAUGAAUAAGGAUCGGCUAACUCCGUGCCAGCAGCCGCGGUAAUACGGAGGAUCCGAGCGUUAUCCGGAUUUAUUGGGUUUAAAGGGAGCGUAGGUGGAUUGUUAAGUCAGUUGUGAAAGUUUGCGGCUCAACCGUAAAAUUGCAGUUGAUACUGGCAGUCUUGAGUACAGUAGAGGUAGGCGGAAUUCGUGGUGUAGCGGUGAAAUGCUUAGAUAUCACGAAGAACUCCGAUUGCGAAGGCAGCUUACUAAGCUGUGACUGACAUUGAUGCUCGAAAGUGUGGGUAGCAAACAGGAUUAGAUACCCGAGUAGUC